ACAGAUAUAUCGACUACCCCUUCAAUAUCCAGCUCUGUACCAAGUUCUGCGGAUCUCAAUAAAGUGCUAACAUUAGCGACUCUAGACACAACAACUGUGUGUUCCGAGAUUCUACCAGAGAGAGUGGUCGUUGGAGUAUCACGUAAUGGUUCUUCUUUUCCUGUAAUUUCUACCGACAAAACAAUCACCAGCAUCAGU